UGCAUUCACUACUGUAAGUCGCUCUGGAUAAGAGCGUCUGCUAACUGACUCAAA
rfam:Salmo salar isolate Sally breed double haploid chromosome ssa22, whole genome shotgun sequence.